CUGAGGCACACACCCUUGGAAGACGUUAAUUUCCCCUCAAAAUUCUAUCUUUAUAGUUAUAUAAUUCAAAAACAAGCUUAGAUAUGAGGAUUCAUAUCUGCUACAGAACACCUCCCUUGGUACAACCCAAAAGACCAGUGUUUACUUUUCAUUAAAGAAUGGAACCUGCUUGAUUUACCAGCAGGUGAAGAACCAAAGGAGGGUUUAUCUUUAUUCUUCUUAGCAUUGAGAGUCUGU
rnacentral:lncRNA from 1 species